rnacentral:rRNA from 1 species
CAGUCGCCGCGGGAAAACCAGCACCUCGAGUGGUCAGGAGGUUUAUUGGGCCUAAAGCAUCCGUAGCCGGUUGCAUAAGUUUUCGGUUAAAUCUAUGCGCUUAACGUAUAGGCCGCCGAAAAUACUGUGCAGCUAGGGAGUGGGAGAGGUACACGGUACUCGAUAGGAAGGGGUAAAAUCCUUUGAUCUAUUGAUGACCACCUGUGGCGAAGGCGGUGUACCAGAACACGUUCGACGGUGAGGGACGAAAGCUGGGGGAGCAAACCGGAUUAGAUACCCGUGUAGUCCCUGUCUCUUAUAA